rnacentral:rRNA from 1 species
GGAGGGGGGGCUAGCGUUGUUCGGAAUGACUGGGCGUAAAGGGCGCGUAGGCGGGGUUUUUAAGUGAGGCGUGAAAGCCCUGGGGCUUAACCCAGGAGGUGCGUUUCAUACUGGAAAACUUGAGUACGAGAGAGGAAAGUGGAAUUCCUAGUGUAGAGGUGAAAUUCGUAGAUAUUAGGAAGAACACCAGUGGCGAAGGCGACUUUCUGGCUCGUAACUGACGCUGAGGCGCGAAAGCGUGGGGAGCAAACAGGAUUAGAUACCCUGGUAGUCCACGCCGUAAACGAUGAGUGCUAGACGUUGGAGAGCAAUCUUCAGUGUCGCAGCUAACGCAUUAAGCACUCCGCCUGGGGAGUACGGUCGCAAAGAUUAA